rnacentral:rRNA from 1 species
UACAGAGGUCCCAAGCGUUGUUCGGAUUUACUGGGCGUAAAGGGUGCGUAGGCGGUCGGGUAAGUCUGGUGUGAAAUCUUCGAGCUUAACUCGGAAACUGCAUUGGAUACUAUUCGGCUAGAGAGUUGGAGGGGGGAUUGGAAUACUUGGUGUAGCAGUGAAAUGCGUAGAUAUCAAGUGGAACACCAGUGGCGAAGGCGGCUACCUGGACCGGUUCUGACGCUGAUGCGCGAAAGCGUGGGUAGCAAACAGG